UUGGCGCCUACCGGAUCUGUAAGGAUGGGGCUACUCGGGUUGCCUCUGCUGUGGUUAGGAUCUAAGGCACCGCGCUAUUGUAAAGGGACCGGCUGGGACGGACGCCCUGGCUGUCCUGGAACUCACUCUGUAGAUCAGGCUGGCCUUGAACUCAGAAAUCCACCUGCCUCUGCCUCCCGAGUGCUGGGAUUAAAGACAAGAGCCGCCGCCCGACUUGCCUAGCACAUUCUCGCUCCGUGAUUAUUUGCGGAAGAAAGGGAUAUGCACACAGUCCCUGCGGUUAUCUAAGUAGAUUUGAGGCAGGAACGAAGGAACUGGGUGUGUUCUGUGGGGCAGUCAGGAAGAGGAGCCUGCUUCUGAAGUCUGCUCUCCCGAGGGUAUAGUCCGAGCCUUACUCAUCCCAGCCUGUUGCUAACCUAUUGAGGUCAAGAUGGCUUAGAGCCACUGAGCUAUGAUUUCCGGGGACCCAGGGCAUCUGGAGCCCUGGGUUGCUGGAAGACACAUGAAUAGCUGGCCACAACUGAGGGGUGAUUUGAGCCUUGCAGUGAAUCCUGUCAGCUUCCUCUCUGCUAGGAAAAGCCAACUCCUGCUUUUGUUUGAAACUUGGUAUGAAAACUAUAUUGGAUGUGGAAUUUUCGAGAAUCACAAUAUGUUUAAGUGUACCCUCAAGAGAUGACACUACUCAGCCCUAUAGUGGCCCCUGACUGUCCUAUGGCCGGUAACUUCUUGAAGGCACAGAGCUAGGAACAGAGGAUGUGCUUCAAGUCUGGCCACAGCUCUCUCUUGUGCUGCCGAUGCUCCGUGGGAUGACAUCUGGCUCAGGAUCAGAUCAGCCCGGUCCACUGUCCAUACCGGAAGGAACAUUGACAUCCAAGGAUGCCUCUGCAGUUGCAUUGGGAGCCAAAGGUCUCAGCACCUAGUCAUAGCCAGUGUCUUCCCUUUAUGAAGCUCCAUUGAAACCCAGCAGGCCGAAGCACUCCCCUUUCUGGACUGCAAGGGAGAUCCUGUCCACGGCUAGGAGUGCUGCUCGCUGGUCAUACACCUGGAAAUGCCGGCCAGAAAGCCCCGGGUGAGUAGGCCUGAAGAUGACCCAGGCCAGCUGGGUGGCCACUGGAGGGCAGAGCUUGCCGUACCUUGGAGAGCUCAUUGAUGAUCAGUGGCGUGUCGAGCAUGGAGUCCAAGCUAGGGACCAGGAUUCGGCUCCUCUCAUCAGCUACAUCCUGGUCCUCAGGCAGCACUGAUGUCCGGUUCUGCAGUUCUGCCUGAUCAGUGAGGAUAAAGACCACACAAGUGAAUUCCAGCCCCAUGGAAGUAGGCCAGGAGCCCAGGAUGACAGGGAAAUUCGAUGGGCCUUCUCAUCCCUCCAUCCCUACCCGCUCUUUCACAAGAAGCAGGCAGUCUUAGUGGCUGAACUCAGCAUCUAGGGAUAGAGGCAGUAGCACAAGAACUGUGGGACUCAAGGAGAGAUCAUAAUCACAGUGGUGGGAAGAAAACGGUUUUAAAAUUUAUUUUUGUGUAUGGUUGUUCUGCUUACAUGUAUUUCUGUGUACCAUGUGCAUGCCUUGUGUUGUGGAAAAAGAGGGCACUGGAUCCCACGGAACUGGAGUUACAGGCAAGUUUUUAAAAAUG
ensembl:processed_transcript